AAUGUCGGCGAUGGAGAUCAACAGUUCAAGCUCAUGCCCUUCAACUCCUCGUUGGAACUCCGAGAGGCCGUUCCUCACCGGCCGCUUCCAUCAGGAAACCAAAACGACGUCGCGUUUCGCCGCCGAGACCCAAACUGAAGACGCCAUAGGGUGUCACAAUGCGGCUGUUCAGGAACUGGUGGUGAUCGACGACCUCUUGUCGGCCAUGGUCGGCAUCCAAGGCCGCUACAUUUCCAUCAGAAGACUCCGCGGGAAGGAAGAUGGUUUCAUCUUUCAAGUUGACGCCUCGAUGGAUUUGGCUCUUCAGGAACUGGCCCACCGGGUGUUCCCUCUUUGCGAGAGCUUCAUGCUCAUCAAUCAGUUUGUCGAGUCGAGAUCUCAGUUCAAGAAUGGCUUAGUUAAUCAUGCCUUUGCUGCUGCUCUCCGGGCUCUCCUCCUUGAUUACCAGGCUAUGGUGGCACAGCUUGAACACCAAUUUCGUCUCGGAAGACUGUCCUUACAAGGCUUGUGGUAUUAUUGUCAGCCAAUGAUGGGAUCUAUGAAAGCACUGUCCACUGUAAUACAGAAAGCUUCCGCAAAUAAUUUUGCCGGUUCUGCAGUUCUUAACCUUGUACAGAGUCAGGCUAAGGCCAUGGCUGGUGAUACUGCUGUAAGGUCAUUGCUAGAGAAGAUGGCUGAAUGUGCUAGCAAUGCGUACCUGGGUAUAUUAGAGAGGUGGGUCUAUGAAGGAGUCAUUGAUGAUCCUUACAGUGAAUUUUUCAUUGCUGAGAACAAAUCUCUUCAGAAGGAAAGCCUCACUCAAGAUUAUGAUGCCAAGUAUUGGAGGCAACGUUACAGCCUUAAGGAUGGAAUUCCAAGCUUUCUUGCAAAUAUUGCUGGGACAAUUUUGAUCACCGGAAAAUAUCUAAAUGUCAUGAGAGAAUGUGGGCACCAUGUUCAGGUCCCUGUAUCCGAAAAUUCGAAAUUGAUGAGCUUUGGAUCAAAUCAUCGUUAUAUUGAGUGUAUAAAAUCUGCUUAUGACUUUGCCAGCGGCGAGCUCUUAAAUCUUAUCAAAGAAAAGUAUGAUCUGAUGGGAAAGCUACGAUCUAUAAAGCACUAUCUUCUUCUUGAUCAGGGUGACUUUUUAGUUCAUUUUAUGGAUAUUGCUCGGGAUGAGCUUAUGAAAAAGCUCGAUGACAUUUCUGUAGAGAAACUGCAAUCCCUACUAGACCUUGCUUUGCGAACCACAGCAGCUGCAGCAGAUCCCUGCCAUGAGGACUUAACAUGUUGUGUGGAAACAUCUUCUUUGCUUAGAAGACUAGGGACACUUAAAGAUCGUGAAAAGACCAGGAAUGUCCUUGAUGAUAAUGAUCUAGAGGAACCAGUGAGCUUAACUGGACUCGAGACAUUUUCUUUGAAUUAUAAGGUUAGGUGGCCGUUGUCUAUAGUGAUCUGUAAGAAAGCCGUAACAAAGUAUCAGUUGAUUUUCCGCUUCCUUUUCCACUGUAAGCAUGUAGAACGCCAACUUUGUGGGGCUUGGCAAGUGCAUCAGGGAGUUCGUACCCUGAACGUGCGUGGUUCUGCUAUCGGCAGAUCAUCUCUCCUCUGCCGGAGCAUGCUUAAAUUUAUUAACAGCCUUCUACACUAUCUAACAUUUGAGGCAGGCCUUUUGCGUUUUCACUACUGAACUUCUUGCUUACAGGUUCUUGAACCCAUUUGGCAUGUGAUGCAUAAUAGGCUUCAGACUGCAAAGAGCAUAGAUGAGGUUAUCCAACACCAUGACUUCUUCCUUGACAAGUGCUUGAGAGGAUGUUUGCUGCUUUUGCCUGAAUUUCUGAAGAAGGUAGAGAGGCUGAAAUCACUUUGCCUACAAUAUGCUUCAGCAACUCAGUGGUUGAUAAGUUCUCUUCAGUCAGAAAAACCUAAGCCAUCCAAAUCACGGAGCCGAUGUCAGGCACUAUCAAUAAGCUCCAGCAACCCAAAUUUUACUGAUGCUAUUCUCAAAUUCGAGAGGGAGUUCAAUGCGGAGCUUCAGAGCCUAGCACCAAUACUGAGCAGCAGUUCCCAAGCCGAACCGUAUUUAACUCAUCUUGCACAAUGGAUUUUGGGCACUGGAAAUGAUCAAUAGAUUCUGGAAUCAGUUCCAUCACUGUUUUUCUUUCUUUUUUCUUGAACGAAAAUUACUUUGAUUCAAUGUGUGGGAUAGUCAGGUCUUAUAUUGGAUGCUUUUUUUGUGGGUU